rnacentral:rRNA from 1 species
AUUGAACGCUGGCGGCAGGCCUAACACAUGCAAGUCGAGCGGAGCGGCGGACGGGUGAGUAAUGCCUAGGAAUCUGCCUGGUAGUGGGGGAUAACGUACGGAAACGGGCGCUAAUACCGCAUACUAUCAGAUGAGCCUAGGUCGGCUUAGCAAGUUGGUGGGGUAAAAGCCUACAAAGGCGACGAUCCGUAACUGGUCUGAGAGGAUGAUCAGUCACACUGGAACUGAGACACGGUCCAGACUCCUACGGGAGGCAGCAGGGGGGAAUAUUGGACAAUGGGCGAAAGCCUGAUCCAGCCAUGCCGCGUGUGUGAAGAAGGUCUUCGGAGUGUAAAGCCCUUUAAGUUUGGGGGCGUUACCAACAGAAUAAGCACCGGCUAACUUCGUGCCAGCAGCCGCGGUAAUUC